rnacentral:rRNA from 1 species
UGGGGAAUUUUGGACAAUGGGGGAAACCCUGAUCCAGCCAUCCCGCGUGUGCGAUGAAGGCCUUCGGGUUGUAAAGCACUUUUGGCAGGAAAGAAACGUCGCGGGUUAAUACCCCGCGAAACUGACGGUACCUGCAGAAUAAGCACCGGCUAACUACGUGCCAGCAGCCGCGGUAAUACGUAGGGUGCAAGCGUUAAUCGGAAUUACUGGGCGUAAAGCGUGCGCAGGCGGUUCGGAAAGAAAGAUGUGAAAUCCCAGAGCUUAACUUUGGAACUGCAUUUUUAACUACCGGGCUAGAGUGUGUCAGAGGGAGGUGGAAUUCCGCGUGUAGCAGUGAAAUGCGUAGAUAUGCGGAGGAACACCGAUGGCGAAGGCAGCCUCCUGGGAUAACACUGACGCUCAUGCACGAAAGCGUGGGGAGCAAACAGGAUUAGAUACCCUGGUAGUCCACGCCCUAAACGAUGUCAACUAGCUGUUGGGGCCUUCGGGCCUUGGUAGCGCAGCUAACGCGUGAAGUUGACCGCCUGGGGAGUACGGUCGCAAGAUUAAAACUUAAAUGAAUUGAACGGGGGUCAUAGCUG